rnacentral:rRNA from 1 species
GUCGAACGAACUUCCGUUAAUUGAUUAUGACGUACUUGUACUGAUUGAGAUUUUAACACGAAGUGAGUGGCGAACGGGUGAGUAACACGUGGGUAACCUGCCCAGAAGUAGGGGAUAACACCUGGAAACAGAUGCUAAUACCGUAUAACAGAGAAAACCGCAUGGUUUUCUUUUAAAAGAUGGCUCUGCUAUCACUUCUGGAUGGACCCGCGGCGUAUUAGCUAGUUGGUGAGGUAAAGGCUCACCAAGGCAGUGAUACGUAGCCGACCUGAGAGGGUAAUCGGCCACAUUGGGACUGAGACACGGCCCAGACUCCUACGGGAGGCAGCAGUAGGGAAUCUUCCACAAUGGACGCAAGUCUGAUGGAGCAACGCCGCGUGAGUGAAGAAGGGUUUCGGCUCGUAAAGCUCUGUUGUUAAAGAAGAACGUGGGUAAGAGUAACUGUUUACCCAGUGACGGUAUUUAACCAGAAAGCCACGGCUAACUACGUGCCAGCAGCCGCGGUAAUACGUAGGUGGCAAGCGUUAUCCGGAUUUAUUGGGCGUAAAGCGAGCGCAGGCGGUCUUUUAAGUCUAAUGUGAAAGCCUUCGGCUCAACCGAAGAAGUGCAUUGGAAACUGGGAGACUUGAGUGCAGAAGAGGACAGUGGAACUCCAUGUGUAGCGGUGAAGAUGCGUAGAUAUAUGGAAGAACACCAGUGGCGAAAGGCGGCUGUCUGGUCUGCAACUGACGCUGAGGCUCGAAAGCAUGGGUAGCGAACAGGAUUAGAUACCCUGGGUAGUCCAUGCCGUAAACGAUGAUUACUAAGUGUUGGAGGGUUUCCGCCCUUCAGUGCUGCAGCUAACGCAUUAAGUAAUCCGCCUGGGGG